rnacentral:precursor_RNA from 14 species
GCCAAGGCCCUGGCGAAGGCCGUGGCCUUGUUCAAGUAAUCCAGGAUAGGCUGUGCAGGUCCCAAGGGGCCUAUUCUUGGUUACUUGCACGGGGACGCGGGCCUGGACGCCUGCAUCCGGG